rnacentral:lncRNA from 1 species
CAUUAAUGGGUUUUCAUAGCAACAGAUCUCCCAAACUGCCCCAGUCCCUCUCCAAACAGUGCUGUCAAGCCUCUCAAGCAGUACACAUUCCUCGGUUUGAUAUUAGAGCCAAUAUCCUUAUAGCACAGGUGUCUAAGAAUGCACACGGACUUUGAAUGGCACUAAAGACUUAGGAGCAGACCCAAGAACACGAGAGACAGAUAUGGUUGAGGGGCAACAUUUUCCAGCUGCUUUUCAGGUACUGCCAGCCAGCUGCAUCUUGUCUUGUCCUGGCAUUGCUGCCACCCAGCUUGUUUCCUGUUAGAGCUAACUUUCUUUGGGAUAUAGAGCAUAUUAACUACAGAGAUCUUAAAACACAGCUUCCACCCAUAGCAUGUGGGAACAAAACCAAACCUCAGCUUCUGUUUUUGCACAGUGACGACUCUGACUCCCUUCAUCUGAAAAAUCCCUUCAGGAAAAUGAAGCAUUAAUCCUGUACUUCUAUGGCAGACUCUAACUCUCUUCCCUCAUAGCAGGAAGCCUUGUUAGGAUCAAUCUGAGUCACAGCUGCUCUGAAUUCCAAAGGGUGAGAUCUGUUGGGCUGUUGUAAAUUACUCUCUUCACAGAGGGCAAGAGGCUGUAAGUGGCACAGGUGUGCCACCACUUAACCACCCUCACCACAGGCUGCGGCUCUUGGGAGAGCUGGCUAGCAAUGUAGUCAAGGGAAAAAAUAAAAGGAGGAAGACUUCUCUUUGCUAAGGGCACAUCAGCAAGCCUUGCAAGUGCCAGAGUUUUUGUAUCUCGCCAAGGAGUACAGCAGGCAAGCAUUCCCUUUGAAUGAAAUGUCUACUGCCUGAGCAAUCUGAGUGCAAACCGGAGCCUAAGUCCUUCUCCUUUGCUCCCUCAUACUGAAGGAGGUGCUGCUGGGAGCUGGUGCUGCACAAGCAAGUUCUGAGCAUGUUUGCUGUUCUUCCUGUGAGUUGCAGCCCGUGUGGCCCAUAGCGAGUUAAACCUCUGAAUCUCUACUGUGCUGCACCACUCCAUGUCUGCCUGUCCUUCAGGUCAAAGGCUUUUGUCCUGCUGUGGGAGGAGGCUAAACACUGCGGGCAGUACUGGCAGGUGAGUGUUUCUCAUUGAAGUCAAAUGUUAACAAGUUAAAUAUAAAGCAAGUCAUAAAAGGUUUGACUUUAGUUAAGACGUUACCCUACUCUUAAAAGACGUGGCUAUGCUUUUCUGAAAGAGGUUUUCCCCUUUUGCAAGCACGUGUUUCUCUAGAAUUUCAGCACUAACUACAAUUAUCCAAAACAACUUUCAAAAGUGUCCUUCUAAUGCAUCUUUUCCAUCGUAGGGACACUGUUUGCUUUGUUUUAAUUUUGAAGUGGCAGAUGGGGUUGUUCAGAAGGAAAAUAUUGGGAGAAGAUAUUUAGUUGCUUAUAUGAGAUAACUGAUCAAGCAUUGGUUCAGCUGAAUGAACCGUAGCCUCUCAUGGACUGGCAAAGCAGCUGCACUGAAAUAGCAAUGCAGCAGCCACUGGGCUGCUGGUGAGCCGCCCUCCUAACGCGGCACAGAGUUGGCAUUUCAGCUGCACUUCACCCAGCCACUGCUGUCAAUCUGCUCGCUCCUCUCAUUUCCUCAGGACACCCUCUAAGUGUUGAGUUCCCUUUUCUUAUUGUUGCAGAAACAUGUUUCUUCUCCAGUCCAGAUUUAUGUAUGGCUUCAGCUUACAGUAUUUAUGUAACCACAGCGGCAGCCAGCAGCUAUGGUUUCGGUAACAGCUGGGCUCUGUUGAAUAGCACCUCCCCUGCGCUACCACUGCCACACUGCAGCGGCUCUGUAAAAGGCAUUCUGCACUUCCAUCUGAAGAGCCCCCUUCUUCCUGGGGGCAGCACUACCACAUUAAUGAACUGAUUUUUAUACAUCAUUUUUACCUGAUUUCAAUUAUUUUUAAGAAAAUAAACAGCACCGUUGCUCUGAAUGUUAUCAUUUCAUAAUUUAACUCCAGCUGUGGACAUGGCUAUGGCGCAAUGGAAAUGGCUUCAGCUCUGUUAAGCGUGUUUGUGAAUGGAGCCAGCCUUGUUUGCAUCCCUAGUUUUAUUUCCCUUAUCUAUCAUAGCAACAAUAACAAACCUGUUGUGAUGUAUCUUGGGAAACUAUCUGUAUGAACUGUAUCGCACACGUUGCAGGGUGAAGUGUUGAGAACUGUGUUCUACCCUUUAAAUAAAUCUGGAAACUUUCAGCAGCCCUUAUAUGCCCACCUGAGAGAAUUCUAGGUAGUACCUGCAAAGCUGACUGGGUUUCCUCAGCAAAAUUAUGCUAUAGCCCCCUGCGCCAGGAGUGAUGCCGGACACUCCACUGAGGCUAAAUUAUAGAUAUUAACAACAACCAGCCUUAACAAAAGGAGGGGGUUGUUUUGUUUUCUUACUCAUGCCUGGGAAAGGCAGUCAUUGCAUUUACCUUCUAAGUUCAGUGUCUAACAACAGGGGAGUUAGAGGGUUUUCUUCCCAGAAGCAUGUUGCAGGUGAGAUGUGGUAGAAAACCAGCAUUGUGCUGGCCUUUCUCGGUACUUUAAGACUUCUAUGAGUCAUUUCUUAACUCAGAAUGAUGAAUAUUCGCACCAGAUUUACAAACAAGCCGUUCAGUAGUAGUCCUAAUUCUAGAAGGUGGACUUUUUACAGACUGUCACCUCCUACUGCUUUGGCAACAUGAAUAAAUGAGGACCAAGAGACAAGAUUCUCUUCUUUGAGCUCCCUGAAAAUAUGACCUCUAGUAAUUUUACUGAUGUACUGCCCAUUCCCUCAGGCAGCGAACUUGACUGGUUAAAUGCAUUGUGUGUGAUGAUCCCUGUGCUCCUGGUGUGCGUUAACUUCAAAAUAAUUAGAAGUUGCUUUAUUUAUCUGUACCAAUCCAUAUUACUACAGCACAUCUAUAGUAAUUCACACUUUGUCAGAAAUCUGUUCUCAACUUCUUUAACUUUGUCCCAGUGCAAUAGGCCAUAAAAACCUUUUUCUCCUUGCCUUGGGACUCUUUAAAUAAAAACAAACACAUACAGAAUGUUAUCUGCAAUCCAGUAAACCCAGCCAGGUUGAUUUAACUUGAUGAUGUCCCACCCAUGUUUUUGAGGGGUCAUGCCAGUUCAGAAACACCUUUGUCAAAUCCUUUCUAUGGCAGCAUAUAAUAACUUACAGUAGUGAAUGAAUCACGUGCUUGGGGAAACAUAAAGCUUCAGUGCAUAUGAGAUCCCAAGGAAAGACUACAACAGGUGAUUUGAGCACUAACAAAGCUGAAUUAACUGACCUGUUACCAUCAGAUAUUACUGGAUAUCUGAAAAGGUAAAAAUGUUCAGUUCUUCUAACUACAUCGUACAGAUACAGUCAAAACUGAUUAUUUUUCUGACCAAAGAUAAGCCACUUGCACAUCUCCUUCAAUGUUUUUUUUUUUUUUUUCCACAACAUGUAUCUGAAGUAUCUCAGGUUAGUUCUACAUGAUGCAGGAAAAUAUCACAGUAUACCUGAUGCUGCUGCGUAGUGACAGCUGGUUGAUAAGUAUGUGAUUAUUAAGUUAUUUUUUAUGAAGUUCACUGUUUAACAACUGAUCAGCCAUAACGUAUUUAUUAUGGCAUGUAAGUCUAUAAAGUAUCAAUAAUGUAGAGUGAUUUAUUAUAGAGUAAUACUGAAGCAGCCUGUGGUAGUGUAGGUAGUGCCUCUGAAGCACAUGGUUUAUCAUGUCCUUACAACAACCUCACCCCUGCUCAUAUUUUCAAAAGAAGGAUGAAGUAUUAUAAUAGUUUAUUGUUUCAUUUUAUUUAAAAAUAGGACUUCUGCUUUCCCAAGGCUGUCAGGUGUAACUUAUUUCUCAAGGCAACGACAGUUACUGUUUGCAGCUGAUACCCAGUCACUCCAUUAGACAGCAAAAGCCCUGCAGCAAGCGUUCUGUUUUGUGGUAAGCUCAUGAUACAGUCACAGUAAGGAGAUACCUCAGGGGUGCUUUGAAGACGGUAAGGAUCUACUUAAUGACAAGUAUAUUCUUAUUUUUCUGUGGCUUCAGCUUCUCAGAGAUCUGAAGUUGGAGUCAUUUGUUUGUUUCACUGUUGUCAAAUUCACAUUGUCAAAUGUUUGUAUCUCUAAUGUGAAUUAUAGGACUUAUUUGUGUAUGUGUGUCUUCAGUUGCAGGUGCGAUUCUUCGCUAAACAACAGAUACAGCGUGGCAAGUGUUGAUAGAUAUUAACAUCAGUGCAGGUGUAGAACUUACACCAUAUGCAGAACCAGCACUUUCUUGCAGUCCCUGGGCUGAUGGGGAAACCCCUCUGUCUCAAAGCAAGCCACAUGUGAGGGUUUUGAACCAGCAUGCUCAAUAGAGACCUGUGAUAUCCACAUCUAAAUCUGCUCUGGUUACGCUCAGUACUCAAUUAGCAUGCUUCCACUUGGGUGUUUAUGAUUUUUGGUGCAUCGGUUGUUCCUUCUAUACUGCUGAAUCAGUAAGGCUGCCUGGCUGUUGCCACAGUGGAAGGUGUAUUUAAUUCAGUGACUGUGCUGUGACAUACAAAGAGGUGUUGUUUCUGAGAGCUCUUCUAGUCAUGGAUUCUGAAGAACUACAACCAGAAAGCUGUUAGUUUCAAACGCUUUGCAUAUCCCUAGCUUGCUCUUACAGAUUUCCGUAACCACCAGGAAUGCUGGAUGCCAGGGAGGAUGCAGAACCCAAGGAAAUCAAAAGGAGCCAUGAGUGUACUCUACAGGGCAAUGGCAGUAUUUGCCAGCUAUGGCUGCAAUACGUAUACACGGAAAGGAGAAAGUACAUGAAGUUCUACUUAAGGUUUUCCUAUGAGCUUCUACGGUUUUCUCUGGGAGCAUCACGAAGAGUUAGGCAACUCCAGAUUGAAAGACCCUGGCCUCAAGGGCUGAAGAAUAGAGCUACAUUGUAACAUCCUGAUACUUGCUGACAAUUUUCUCCCUUAAUAAAACGUUGCCGCUGUCCUCUCCAUUUAUAGCAUCAAAGAGAACCCUUCUAACCUCCUAAAUCCUGUUUUAGUGUCGUAGGCUACAGAUUAUUAGCCAAAGCACAACUGCAUUUGAUGUAGUUAUAUCAGGAAGAAACAUAAGUAACAUUUAUAAUGCAGAAAUACUUAAAAAAAUUUAUUAAAAUUUAUUAAAAUAUGUUUAAAAUUAAAAUUUAAAGCAUUUAAACUUCUGUGUGAGCUCCGAGGCAGCUCUGUCUUUGUGUAUUACUGAAUACGAAAUGCUGAGAGGAAUUGAUGUGGCGGUCUCCUUUUUCUCUAGUUACCCUCCUGCAGCACAGCGCAGCCCGCUGCCCCUACAGGACAGCCUGCUUCAUGACGUUGUCCCUCAAGAUCUCAUUCCACUGUUAAUUUUUUUGUUGUUGUUGUUAGAAUAAAACACCUUGAAGUCCUGCUCUGA